CCUACGGGUGGCAGCAGUGAGGAAUAUUGGUCAAUGGAGGCAACUCUGAACCAGCCAAGUAGCGUGCAGGAUGACGGCCCUAUGGGUUGUAAACUGCUUUUACGCGGGGAUAAACCGAUUCACUUGUGGCGUAUUGCAGGUACCGCGUGAAUAAGGGCCGGCUAAUUCCGUGCCAGCAGCCGCGGUAAUACGGAAGGGCCGGGCGUUAUCCGGAUUUAUUGGGUUUAAAGGGAGCGCAGGCCGCGCGUCAAGCGCGUUGUUAAAUGCCGCGGCUCAACCGGGGCACUGCAGGGCGAACUGGGCGGCUUGAGUGCGCAGGAGGCAGGCGGAAUUCGUGGUGUAGCGGUGAAAUGCAUAGAGAUCACGAGGAACCCCGAUUGCGAAGGCAGCCUGCCGUAGUGUUACUGACGCUGAGGCUCGAAGGUGCGGGUAUCGAACAGGAUUAGAUACCCGGGUAGUC
rnacentral:rRNA from 1 species